UUAAAUUUGACAAAGCCUUGCUCAGAAUACAACCCCUACUCAAUGUAUAAGUCCCACAAAGCAAGCCCAAUUCUUGAUAGCAAACUUAGCUGAACCAUAGGCAAUAACUCAGAAAACUCUCACAAUACUGCCGUCUACCAGAAUCAAGCCAGAGUGACUCACCGAAGUCAAAUUAGGAGAAACCAUCCUCCAAAGACUAGCAGCCAUAGCUAAACUAGUCAAAAUUAGGAAGAAGAUACUCCACAACCAAAGCA
rnacentral:misc_RNA from 1 species